GGUAAUUCAAAGAGAAAAUUCCCCAAUCCAAUGGUCCUUAGAGAUAGUUUGCACCCAAGGGGAUUUUAACCUUAGACAAUAGGGGAAGCAUACCCCCAAUCCCAAGGCCUUUACCACUUGAGCCAACCCAUAGGGGUUAAAGUUAGAUAUCA